rnacentral:rRNA from 1 species
CCRGCAMCUCCUGGRAAAACGGCUCCACCUGCGGRUGUAACACUUGCUGCGGUUAAAACGUCCGAAGUUYMUUUUUGUCCAGUACGGGUGUUGCUCCAUCAAGUAAGUGGUUGCAGUCAUUUCCGAUUACUUGGACUAUAUGACUGAACACUAUUAAUGAAUAGCGUGAUACCUUUUACUAGGUUAAACGUCUAUUUAGUUCAGCUUGAUUUUACCUUGAACAAAUUAAGGUGCUCAAAGCAGGCUUUAUAUGCCUUGAAUAUUUUUGCAUGGAAUAAUGGAAAAGGACCUCGGUCUUAUUUAAAAUUUUCUAUUGGUUUGAUACAGAUCAAGAGGUAAUGAUUAAUAGAAGCAGUUGGGGGCAUUAGUAUUGCGGCGCGAGAGGUGAAAUUCUUAGACCGUCGCAAGACUAGCUUAAGCGAAAGCAUUUGCCAAGGAUGUUUUCAUUAAUCAAGAACGAAAGUUAGAGGAUCGAAGACGAUUAGAUACCGUCCUAGUUCUUACUGUAAACGAUGACAGCCAGCAAUUGGAUGUCGCUACUAUUAUGGCGCAUUCAGUAGCUUCCGGGAAACCAAAGCUAGUUUCCGGGGGAAGUAUGGUUGCAAAGUUGAAACUUAAAGGAAUUKACGGAAGGGCACCACCAGGAGUGGAGCCUGCGGCUUAAUUUGAUUCUAAAAGGUUGAAAAC